UACGUAGGGGCGAGCGUUGUCCGGAAUUAUUGGGCGUAAAGGGUACGCAGGCGGUUCUUUAAGUCUGAUGUGAAAUCUCACAGCUUAACUGUGAGCGGUCAUUGGAAACUGAGGAACUUGAGUAUAGAAGAGAAGAGUGGAAUUCCUAGUGUAGCGGUGAAAUGCGUAGAGAUUAGGAAGAACACCAGUGGCGAAGGCGAUUCUCUGGACUGUAACUGACGCUGAGGCGCGAAAGCGUGGGGAGCAAACAGGAUUAGAUACCCU
rnacentral:rRNA from 1 species